GAGGGAGGUAGCAACUGUGGGAAAUCCAUCCCCGCGCCCCGGCCGAAACCGAGACGCCAAGGAUGACCGCGCAACUCGAUGGUGGUGUUUUG
rnacentral:rRNA from 1 species